CAAUGAAGCCACCUGACUCCAAACCCGUACCCGUUUCGAUUUGGGGUUCAUGCAUAAAUACCACCGAUCAGCUCUGCUCUGCCGUCUAGUAGAGUAACAGGAUUUUACUCGCAGCGACGCCAUGAGAGCCAAGUGGAAGAAGAAGCGGAUGAGGAGGUUGAAAAGAAAGCGCAGGAAGAUGAGGCAGAGAUCUAAGUAGCUGCUGUUGCUGCUCACUCCAAGACCAUUCUCCAAUCUUUUUCUUUAGCUUUUGAUUGUAACCCAUCUUUUAUUUUUGUCGACUUUUUCUUAGCAUCGUAUUCCGAGUUGUAAUCGUACCUUUUUCUGGGUACAUUUUGCUUAAUUUCAAUGGACUUAUCUUGAGUUGC